rnacentral:lncRNA from 1 species
UACAGAUUCUUGAUUAGAGGAUAGAAUGAUUUGAUUGGAAUAUGAUGGUUAGAUUUUCCAUUGUCUGAAUGCUGCUUGCUUUGUGCUUUGUGGGGCUCUUAGUAAUGUGAGUUAGCUAUUAAGUGAAUAUGCUAAGUCACAUGUGGCACAGGCUGGAUAAUCUCAGAGUGAUAGAUUUGACCCUGUUGCGCAGCUCUCGUUUGAGUCUAACCGUUAUAGGGAUGAGUCGGUUACUUGAAGGAUUAUCUGAUCUCUGUUGCAUGUGGCUAUAUUCAUAAGGUAGCUAGUUGACAUUGUUGGGAAUCUUUCAGCAGCUGAGGACUGGGUGAGUUCGGGAACCUAGGAAAGCCUAGGAUACGUUUCAAUGGAUUAGUAGUGAGGUUUAGUGAGACUUGGGUGUACCAGUUUGAGGAAGUGCCUUGGAGGAUUCAGGAGGAUUGCUGAGGAAAGUAUGGAUAGGUGUGGAAGGUAGUAUUGGGCCCAUACUACUGAAAGCACAUGAUCCAUACUCGAAUCAGUGAGAGUCUUGGAGAAUCUGAGAAGCUUCGGGAAGGAGUUAGUGACCCGGUUUGGGGACAAAGGAUGUUUCGGUUGUU